GAGUUUGAUCCUGGCUCAGGAUGAACGCUAGCGGCAGGCCUAACACAUGCAAGUCGAGGGGUAACAUAGAGUGCUUGCACUCUGAUGACGACCGGCGCACGGGUGAGUAACGCGUAUACAAUCUGCCUCAUACUAGGGGAUAGCCCAGAGAAAUUUGGAUUAAUGCCCUAUAGUAUCUUUUAGAGUCAUCUCUUUAAGAUUAAAGGUUACGGUAUGAGAUGAGUAUGCGUUCUAUUAGUUAGUAGGUGAGGUAACGGCUCACCUAGACCACGAUAGAUAGGGGCCCUGAGAGGGGGAUCCCCCACACUGGUACUGAGACACGGACCAGACUCCUACGGGAGGCAGCAGUGAGGAAUAUUAGACAAUGGGCGAAAGCUGAUCUAGCCAUGCCGCGUGCAGGAUGACGGCCCUAUGGGUUGUAAACUGCUUUUAUACAGGAAGAAAAAACUCUACGUGUAGAGUCUUGACGGUACUGUAAGAAUAAGGAUCGGCUAACUCCGUGCAGCAGCCGCGGUAAUACGGAGGAUCCAAGCGUUAUCCGGAAUUAUUGGGUUUAAAGGGUCCGUAGUGGACAAUUAAGUCAGAGGUGAAAUCCUGCAGCUCAACUGUAGAAUUGCCUUUGAAACUGGUUGUCUUGAGUCAUUAUGAAGUGGUUAGAAUGUGUAGUGUAGCGGUGAAAUGCAUAGAUAUUACACAGAAUACCAAUUGCGAAGGCAGAUCACUAAUAAUGUACUGACACUGAUGGACGAAAGCGUGGGUAGCGAACAGGAUUAGAUACCCUGGUAGUCCACGCCGUAAACGAUGGUCACUAGCUGUUCGGACUUCGGUCUGAGUGGCUAAGCGAAAGUGAUAAGUGACCCACCUGGGGAGUACGUUCGCAAGAAUGGAACUCAAAGGAAUUGACGGGGGCCCGCACAAGCGGUGGAGCAUGUGGUUUAAUUCGAUGAUACGCGAGGGAACCUUACCAGGGCUUAAAUGUAGAGUGACAGGUCUAGAGAUAAGAUUUUUCUUCGGACACUUUACAAGGUGCUGCAUGGUUGUCGUCAGCUCGUGCCGUGAAGUGUCAGGUUAAGUCYAUUACGAGCGCCACCCUGUUGUUAGUUGCCAGCGAGUUA
rnacentral:rRNA from 1 species